rnacentral:rRNA from 1 species
GACGAACGCUGGCGGCGUGCUUAACACAUGCAAGUCGAACGGUGAACUCCGCUUGCGGGGGGAUCAGUGGCGAACGGGUGAGUAACACGUGGGCAACCCGCCCUCAGCUCUGGGAUAACUCCAAGAAAUUGGGGCUAAUACCGGAUAUGACCGCUGACCGCAUGGUCUGGUGGUGGAAAGAUUUAUCGGCUGGGGAUGGGCCCGCGGCCUAUCAGCUUGUUGGUGGGGUAGUGGCCUACCAAGGCGACGACGGGUAGCCGGCCUGAGAGGGUGACCGGCCACACUGGGACUGAGACACGGCCCAGACUCCUACGGGAGGCAGCAGUGGGGAAUAUUGCGCAAUGGGCGAAAGCCUGACGCAGCGACGCCGCGUGGGGGAUGACGGCCUUCGGGUUGUAAACCUCUUUCAGCAGGGACGAAGCGAAAGUGACGGUACCUGCAGAAGAAGCACCGGCCAACUACGUG